GAAAGGUCCUUUAGCCCACUAGUCUCCCCCAUACAUGUAGUGUCCAGCGGUGCAGGAGGAGGUAUGUGUCCAGUCACCGCCAUCGUCUGUCAGGUGAUGUUACGACCAGUGGGGGAACCAGAGGAUUCUCUCUGUCAACCAAGGGACGGCAGCCACUAACCCCGUGGGGGUUAUUCAACACUCUCUCAGGAGACAGGACAGAACGCAGCAAGAGAGAAACUGAACCACUACCUACAGAAUAGGCUACAGACAGACAACAGGUUUCCACAAUAUAGGAUCUGCUCGGUGGAUAUCUUCUAUAUAAAAUCCUUCUCCUGAUUGACCUGUCAAGAAUGGAUAGGGACAAGAUGGCAGAUAGUAUAAUAAAUCUCACCCUAGAGAUCCUCUUCCUGCUUACUGGAGAGGACUACACAGUAGUGAAGAAGACCUCUAGUGAGCACUGCCAGGACCCUGUGCCUGAAGAACGGGGAAGAACCCUGAGCCCAAUCAUGGGGCCUCCACCUCACCUCCUGAUACAUGAGGAAAUCAAUAGAGAGAAGAUCCUAGAACUCACCAACAAGAUCAUUGAGCUGCUGACU